GGUUUGUAUAUUGAACUUUUUUUUAGAGAUCUGUACAUUGUUUUAAGAAGGUGCUAAAUUGAUGAUAUUAUUGCUAUACUGAUUAUUAUUUUAAUCUUAUACAGAACAGAUAUACAUUUGUAAAUAAAUAUUUUUGUUGAUGCGCAUUGUAUUGUAGUCAAAGUAAAACAGCGUAAGUGCCUUUUAACUUUUACAAAUUCUUAAUUUAUAGUCAGAAGCCAGAUAACAUUACAAUUGAUAAGAAAAGAGUUGUAUGUUCUGAAGGUCCUUCAAUAAUGCUUAUUUUACUUUAUAAGUUCUCCAGUUUCUUACUUUAUUUCAAAAGCUACCCUUUUAUUGCUGACUUUCAAAUUCUUGGGUUUCAGCAUUUCCCAAUGCAGGCUAAUCUAGAAAAGUGCUUUGUACCUACCAAAUUUAGAAAGUUGCUUUCAUCAUUUAUUGUAUACAUAAUACAACACACACAUAGACUUACAUACUUUAUGUAUGCAUACUAGUCAGUUUCUCUUCAUUAGCAUAGAUGCAAUAUUGGUUGAGUUUUUUUGCUGUGAGUACCACUCAAGUUUAUUUUUGCCAAACAUUUACAUAGUACAUGUAUUUAUUUUACUAUUUAGUCAUUAUUGUAUUUUGUUUGUGUAUAUUAUUUCAGCACCAGUGCAAUAACAUCUUUGUGAGAUUUUGAUGUGUAAUUUGCCUGUAAUAUUUGGUUGUUUUACUUUUGACAAAAAAUAUAUACAUUUUUUUUGUAAGAAUUAAAAUGUGGACCCUUUAUAAAUUUAAUAUAUACUAAGUCAAAUAUAAUAAAACAUGAUCUGUUAUAGAAAUGAUUAUGUGUCACACAUUCCAAUGAGAAGGUAUAAUGGCCCACCAUUUUAUAUUUGAUAAUCAAAAGUCUGGGUUAUUUUUGGUUUGUAAUUUUGUAGUAAAAAUUUUGUACUCUUUUAAAAUAUGUUGAUAGGAAAGAAGAAAAAAAGAAAAGAUUUGUAGUAAAAAUUUAUACUAGACAAUAUCCACCUUUUCAGAAUUUAGUGCAUUUUGGUUAAUUAUUCAAAAGUGACACCAAAACGUCAUUGGUUCAAAACACCUUUAACCAAAGAAUUUCAACCAAUGACAUAACAUGAUUUCCAUUUUGGUGUACUUACAAUGAAAUUACCCAUAGCCGAUUGUCUGUGUCAUUUUGGUCUUUUGUGGAUAGUUGUCUCAUUGGCAAUCAAACCACAUCUUCUUUUUUAUAUAGUUUCUGAAAAGGUGAAUUGUCAUUGGCGUAUACCCUACAUCUCUUUUUAUGCAUCUCUGAAGAUGACCAGCUGGUGGUUGUCAUUAAAAACAAAAUCAAUUUUUAUUCAAUAGCAAUUUUAAAUGAUAAUUGAUUGCUGUCUGUAAAAUUUUUCAGUUGUUAUUAAUUAUUUUUGGAUUUUCUUAUUCAUCAAAUUUAUAAUUGUUUGGAUAAAUAACUAAAUUAACACUCAUAGUCUGAUCCAUUUAAAUGAAUUAUGUAUUUUCUCCACAUUCCUUUAAUUAUGAUAGAAAAGUAUGAUUUUCCCAUCUGGUUGUACAGAAGUUUACUGGUUUUUACAAAUAGUUUUAUAAUGAUCAAGGUUGAAAUGUUUUAUAAUAUAUCAAAUAUGGUUGAAUUUAUUAAAAUUGAUUUUAUAGCAAGCACUCUGUAUGAAUUGAAGCAUUUAUUUUGUGCAUUCUUAGUAUUUGGAUAAAAUGUAUACAAUUUCUAUUAUGGUGAGUAUUUAUAAUGUAAGUAUCUUAUGAAAAUUGACCAUUUUUUAUCAAAGAUCUGAUUUAGGAACAAAAAAUAGCUUUUACUUUAAAAGCACUAUAAUCCUUAGUGGAAACGUCGUCUAAAAACAAGGUGUUAAACUUUACACUUGUUGAGAAUCAGUGUCAAUGAUAUGAGAUACAUGAUACAAUUUGACCCAAAAAAUUAUAGAUUUUUAGAAUUGUAGGUAUAAUAUUGAGAGUGUCUGGACUUGAGAUUGAAAGUUGAAUGCUGUAAACAGUAUUGUUUGAGGGCAUUGUUUUAUUUAUUUUUGUGUCUUAUACACAUGUUUACUGUUUUUACAAAUAUAUUUAUUUUAGUAUGCAUUUAGAAUUGUAUUUGUUUUGUAAUCACCACAACUGAUCAAAUUCAUUUAUCAGACAUAUAUAUUUGUAUUUAUACAUAUAUAUGUUAUAAUCUUGUAAUUAUACAAAAUUUUGUUUGAAACAUGAAAUGGCAUUUAAUUUCAACAUAUAAUUUAACUUUCGUGAAUAUAAGCUUGCCACAGUUAGAUAUAAAAUUCCUAUUUUAAAAAUUGUAAUAAAGCAAAGAAAGGAAAUAUUUUGUAGGUUGUAGACUUUAACCAUUUCAGCUUUGGAAGAUAAUGAUCAUUAAAAGUCCUGUUUAUUUUAAUUAAUUUAGUACUAAACAGUUAUCUCUUCAUAAUACUAUGUCUUUGUUGAAAUGUGACUAUAUUUCAG
rnacentral:lncRNA from 1 species